GAUGAACGCUGGCGGCGUGCUUAACACAUGCAAGUCGAACGAGGUAUGAGGACGAAAGUUUUCGGACGGAAGACCUUGUACUUAGUGGCGAACGGGUGAGUAACGCGUGAGAAACCUGCCUUUCAGUGGGGGACAACAGUUGGAAACGACUGCUAAUACCGCAUAAUGUCAUUUGAGGGCAUCCCUGAAUGACCAAAGAUUUAUUGCUGAAAGAUGGUCUCGCGUCUGAUUAGCUUGUUGGCGGGGUAACGCCACCAAGGCGACGAUCAGUAGCCGGUCUGAGAGGAUGAACGGCCACAUUGGGACUGAGAUACGGCCCAG
rnacentral:rRNA from 1 species